UGCCCCAUGGCUGAGUUGGUUACAGCGUCCGACUGUUAAGAGCGAUCGGAAGGUCGAGAGUUCGAGCCUCUCUGGGGCAG